rnacentral:rRNA from 1 species
GGGAUUCCCUUAGUACGGCGAGUGACCGGGAUGAGCUCAAAUUUAAAAUCUGGCGUCUUUCAGGCGUCCGAGUUGUAAUCUAUAGAGGCGUUUUCCGCGCCGGACCGCGUCCAAGUCUCUUGGAAUAGAGUAUCAAAGAGGGUGACAAUCCCGUACUUGACGCGACAACCGGUGCUCUGUGAUACGUUCUCAAUGAGUCGAGUUGUUUGGGAAUGCAGCUCUAAAUGGGUGGUAAAUUCCAUCUAAGGCUAAAUAUUGGCGAGAGACCGAUAGCGAACAAGUACCGUGAGGGAAAGAUGAAAAGCACUUUGGAAAGAGAGUUAAACAGCACGUGAAAUUGUUAAAAGGGAAACGAUUGAAGUCAGUCGUGUGAAAGGUAUUCAGCCGUCUCUGGCGGUGUAUUUGCCUUUCACGGGUCAACAUCAGUUUGAUCCGGUAGAAAAAGGCGGGAGGAAGGUGGCACCCUCGGGUGUGUUAUAGCCUCCUGUCAUAUGUGCCGGACCAGACUGAGGAACGCAGCUUGCCGCAAGGCCGGGGUUCGCCCACGUACAAGCUUAGGAUGUUGACAUAAUGGCUUUAAACGACCCGUCUUGAACCACGGACCAA